CUUGAUGUCAUAGGAGGUCUCUGGCUGCAGGUGGCUGAUGGAGUGCCAGUACCUAUCCCCUGGGAAAGACAGCAAGAGCCAUGCAUGAGGUCCCCAAGCUUUUGGAGACAAGAAAAAAAACUGCACUUCUUCAGACUUCCGCUCCCUCUGGACCUCUCUGUGCACAUGAAGGAAGAAGCAAGCAUGCUCCAGGUCGCCAGUGGUGAUAUCGCGACGACUUCCUCUCACCUACUACUUUCCAGGACAAGGGCCGGCUCUGUGCCUCUCAGAGCCUGCGGAGCUGAAGCCAGGGCUUGCUGAAGGAGGAGAACAGCUGGUAGGGAAAGCUCUUAUCCCUAAGCAGAAUAUUCCAACGGAGAACAAAACCUGCCAUUGAAGGGACAGGGAUGGUCUGGACUCAUUAAUGUCAGGCUUCCAGGAUUUGUUCCAAGGGGAGAAGUUUUUACAAACUGAGAAUCCCCAGCGGUGCUGGAAACCCAAACACAGUAGCCCAGAAUGUGCAGAUGCACCAGGAAAUGAGACUUGCUUUGUGCAUGUGAAAAACUGAAUGAUUCCUAAUUGCCCCAAAGACAAGGAAUAUGAAAAAAAAA